UACGUAGGGGGCAAGCGUUGUCCGGAAUCAUUGGGCGUAAAGAGCGUGUAGGCGGCUUGGUAAGUCUGCUGUGAAAGUGCAGGGCUCAACCCUGGAAUGCCGGUGGAAACUGUCAAGCUUGAGUCCGGAAGAGGCGAGUGGAAUUCCUGGUGUAGCGGUGAAAUGCGCAGAUAUCAGGAGGAACACCAAUGGCGAAGGCAGCUCGCUGGGACGAUACUGACGCUGAGACGCGAAAGCGUGGGGAGCAAACAGG
rnacentral:rRNA from 1 species